rnacentral:tRNA from 1 species
UGUCUUGUAAUGCAAUUGGUUAGCAUACUAGAUUUUGACUCUAGAAAUAUUGGUUCGAAUCCAGUCAAGAUAA